CGCGUAGGCGGUUUGUUAAGUCAGGUGUGAAAGUUUUCAGCUUAACUGGAAAAGUGUACUUGAAACUAACUUACUUGAGUACUGGAGAGGUAAGCGGAAUUCCUAGUGUAGCGGUGAAAUGCGUAGAUAUUAGGAAGAACACCGGUGGCGAAGGCGGCUUACUGGACAGAGACUGACGCUGAGGCGCGAAAGCGUGGGGAGCGAACA
rnacentral:rRNA from 1 species